GGCUUCCCUGGUGAGGUGUUGGCUUCCAAAGCCUGCCCUGCUGUCAAAUAGGGGAACUGCUCCUUUAUCUCAGCCUCUUAAAUCACUUCAAGUCCGCAGCCAAUCCCAGGCACCUGUCCUGGGCCCCAGGAGUGUAGUGUUGCUAGCACCCGAAAUCCAGGAUGGAGUAGCGCUCCAGCACUUCCCUUUGCAAAGUGCUGCUGGCUGACAACUGGACCCAGAACAUGGGAUCGCAUCACCACUUAAAUUUUGCCCGGCUACUGCACCACUCUGUUCCUGGCUGGACCCCCAGCAGUGGAGCAGACAAACACCAGAAACUUCAGCCUCCAGUUCAGCUCCCAGCACCUGCAUAGAACCUGCACAGGAGCUGCUGCAGCUGCAUGGCUCAGCACCUAAGGCCCUGGGUUCCUUGCAGCACCCAGAGCUGGAGAA